AGAUGUGAGGGCAAUCUGGCUGCAAUACCUGUCACCCCAUUGAUGACCAGGGUUAAUUCGGCUGAUCUAGCUGGGGUAGAUGUAUUUCCCCUUCCUCCUUCACUGCUCCAUGUGUGUCCCUCCUGAAGCAGCACACCAGGUCAAAGAGCACAACCUUCCCUGAUAGAGAGGGACUGUUCUUUGGUCAAGGGUAUAGGAGUAGCUGCGCUCCCCUGCUAGAACUUCCAAACAAGCUCUCAAGGUCAUCCCAACAAUUCACUACUGUCCUAAGUUCCCAUUGAAAAUGGAAAAUAAUAGAGACUUCCUCAUAGUGGUCGUUAGGAAGUUUAAAUGAGUCCUCAGAU
rnacentral:snRNA from 1 species